AUUUCACUUGCACCAGUGCGCACUGACGCACCUGACCUGACGUUUUUCCGAUGGUGGUACUCGGUCGGGCUACCGUCGGAAUUUCCCAGAUUUUCCUUUUCCCACUUCAGUCUCUGCCCAGAGCUUGAAGACAGCCGUACUAGUGAAGAUUACUGCUUUGAGUGUCAUCGGUGGAAUUGACAUCAAAGACACAAUGUGGAGAAUUAUGAAACACUGCUCCACAAACUCCCUGGCAAAACAGCUGAACUGGCAUGGCAUCAAUGGCAAAAUUGCUUUCCACAGCCUGCAGCUGAAAGAUGUCAUUACUGGAACAGUCAGAAACAAUCACUUAACAGCAACUGCAACGGACCAGGAGGUGGAGGCAUACAUAAAAAGAUGGCUUCAUCUUGCUGGAGACAGAGAUGGUGGGAGGAGAGAGAGGGAGGAGAAAAAGCGGGCCGCACAGCACACACGGCCACAAGAAGACGAGCCAUGAUGUUGGGCCCAGGCAAGAUUUGUUUGGAGUGACCGUUCACAGCUUCUCCACUGUUCCACCUUUUUCACGUUUUUCAAUCGUUCCACUGAUUUUGCCUGAAUUUUGUUUUGUUUUGCCUUUUGUUUUGUCUCACAGGUUAAAAAAACUAAAAAUCAUAGUCCUCUACUGUUCACCAGUUGUUUCUCGUGUCUGCUAAUUUCUUCAAUUCUUCAGUAGGUUUCUUCAUCUUAGACCCCCAGAUGAGUCCCAACAAGACUGGACCACUGACAUGCCACCAUUCAACACAGUAUCUGGGGGUACCAUUAUGGCAUGUAGCCACAAAUUCAGACCAGUUCUGUUUAAUUCUAUUUGUUCAUAUUUGACAUAAAACUUUAUCAUGG